GAUGAACGCUGGCGGCGUGCCUAAUACAUGCAAGUCGAGCGGUAACACUUCGGGUGACGAGCGGCGGACGGCUGAGUAACGCGUAGGAAUGUACCCCAGAGUGAGGGAUAAGCACCGGAAACGGUGUCUAAUACCGCAUAAUCUCUUCGGAGCAAAGCUUUUAGCGCUUUGGGAACGGCCUGCGUAUGAUUAGCUUGUUGGUGAGGUAAAAGCUCACCAAGGCGAUGAUCAUUAGCUGGUCUGAGAGGAUGAUCAGCCAGACUGGGACUGAGACACGGCCCAGACUCCUACGGGAGACAGCAGUAGGGAAUUUUCCACAAUGGACGAAAGUCUGAUGGAGCAACGCCGCGUGCAGGAUGAAGGCCUUCGGGUUGUAAACUGCUUUUAUUUGUGACGAUUAUGACGGUAACAGAUGAAUAAGGAUCGGCUAACUCCGUGCCAGCAGCCGCAGUAA
rnacentral:rRNA from 1 species